AUAUGAAGGAAGAUGUAUCAGAAAAUUGAUCUAUACAGUUGAACAAAUACUGUUCCCUCAAAAGGUAAUUUGUUGCUAGAGCUAGAGGAAAGUUGAAAACAUGGCUUUAAAAAGAAAACAACAUAUGAGAUCAUGCGCCUUCAGUGGUCAGAGGGAAGUGUUCCAG